rnacentral:rRNA from 1 species
AUUGAACGCUGGCGGCAUGCCUUACACAUGCAAGUCGAACGGUAACGGGCCUUCGGGUGCCGACGAGUGGCGAACGGGUGAGUAAUACAUCGGAACGUGCCCGAUCGUGGGGGAUAACGAGGCGAAAGCUUUGCUAAUACCGCAUACGAUCUACGGAUGAAAGCAGGGGACCGCAAGGCCUUGCGCGGACGGAGCGGCCGAUGGCAGAUUAGGUAGUUGGUGGGAUAAAAGCUUACCAAGCCGACGAUCUGUAGCUGGUCUGAGAGGAUGAUCAGCCACACUGGGACUGAGACACGGCCCAGACUCCUACGGGAGGCAGCAGUGGGGAAUUUUGGACAAUGGGCGCAAGCCUCAUCCAGCCAUGCCGCGUGCAGGAUGAAGGCCUUCGGGUUGUAAACUGCUUUUGUACGGAACGAAAAGCCUUCUUUUAAUACAGGAGGGUCAUGACGGUACCGUAAGAAUAAGCACCGGCUAACUACGU